rnacentral:rRNA from 1 species
UACAGAGGUCUCAAGCGUUGUUCGGAUUUAUUGGGCGUAAAGGGCGCGUAGGCGGCGGGGUAAGUCGGGUGUGAAAUCUCAGGGCUCAACCCUGAAACUGCACUUGAUACUGCUCUGCUUGAGGACUGGAGAGGAGACUGGAAUUCACGGUGUAGCAGUGAAAUGCGUAGAUAUCGGGAGGAACACCGGUGGCGAAGGCGGGUCUCUGGGCAUCUCCUGACGCUGAGGCGCGAAAGCGUGGGGAGCGAACAGG